rnacentral:lncRNA from 10 species
CUGGUUAGAGGUUCGCCGGUGACGUGAGCGCCCGAGUUGGGGGAGAGGACCAGAACCACCUGCUGGAGAAAGGGAGCUACGGGGGCCGGGCAGGGUCCAAACGCCUCACGUGGGCGGCGGCGCCACGGUCUUCGGGGUCACAGGGAAGAGAAGGGCUCUCCUCAAGCGGGUGGAAGGAGGGAGGCCUCCCGAGGGAAUGAGACUCCAGGCCACUCCCCCGCAGCAAGGCAGGAUCACCUGCGUCGCGGAGAGCAGUUAGAGGUCCCUGGAGUGGAAAAGGGCAGUGGGACCUGGUAGCUUGGGUUCCCUGCAACUUGGGGUUCGACCUCCAGGCAAUGAAGUAGGGAUGGUCCUGCAAGUCAAGAUUCCAGUAGCAAGAGUGCAUCAGAUCUCUGUAAGGAAAAUAACUAACAUUGCUCAGUUCCCUGUAGAGUUGCAGGGCGCUUUGACGUUAUCUCCCUUGGUUCUCCAUCAGGUCGUAGUGGACUAAUUUUACAGGCGAAGUUAAGUGACUUACCCAAAACCUCACAGCUAAUAAACGGCAGAGCCGGCACCCAGCUGUACUGGCUUCCAGCGCAUCCCAUUAUCUCCAUAAAUCCCCCUGAUUCAACUAAUAUUAGACGCCCCACAGGUAAGAUGCUUCAGAGUUAGAGGGGAGUUGAAGAUACCUUUGCCUUCAAAGAAGUAAGGAAUGAAACAAAGAUAAAACAGACAAUAAAAGACAAACCAUGAUAGGUGCCACGUGAAAAGUGGCAGAGUACUGCCGGGAAUCAAAGAACCGUGUAUAUCUGUCUUGGGGAUAAGGAAAGAAACGCAGCAUGAAGGAGUAGGCAUUUGGGAUUGACCUUGAAGGAGACAGGGAGAGUUUUACAGCAAGAAGGGAUAGCAUGAGAAUAUAUAUGAAGGCGAAUCAGUGAAAGUUGUGUUGGGGAAAGAGCAAAGACUCCAGGUAUGUUGAGAGGUAGAAAAGACAAAGGAGUAUGGGGCCUAAGAUACCAAAUGGAUGAAUUUAUAUUUAAUUCAGUAUUUUGAGUUUUUAUGGUUCAGAAGUUUGGGGGAAGAAAAGGAAGGUUUUUUUUUUCUUUAUGCUAGUGAUUUAUCUGUGAAGGGAAGCAGAAAUCAGAGGUGGAAAAACUGACAGAUCUACUGUAGGCCAGGUAAAAGGUAAUGAUGAGUCUGACCUAAAGGGACAGCCAGGGGAAUUUAAAGAGCAUAGUUGAGAGAUGAUGUGCAUGCAGAAUCUAUAGAAUUUGCUAACUGAUUGAUUAAUUGUGGGUAGGAAGAGAGAAAUCAAAGAAAGUGGAGGUUUUGAGUUUCUAGAUAAUUGCAAGAGAGAAAAGAGACAAUUACAAAGGAAAGGAGAAGGAGCUACUUCUUGAGAGAAGAUCAGUUUAGAUUUAGACAUUUUAAGAAUUCAAAGGGUUGUCAAGACAGCCAGACGGACAUGGACACUAAUAAGUUAGAAAUAAAGGUUUUGUAAUAUGGGAAAGAGGACUGAGCUAGAAAAUAGACUCAUAGAUAAUCAGCCUAGGAGUGAUAUUGCUGUGAGAUAAAAGAAGAAAACAAAGUCAGAAUCUUGGAAAACACCCUCUUCAGAGUCUCGCUGCUCAAAACGUGGUCAGUGGCCCAGCAGCACUGACAUGAGGACCUUAGUUGGAAACUCAGAAUCUCAGGCUCCACCCCAGACCUGCUGAACCAGCAUCUUCAACUUAACAAGAACCCGAAGAGAUUUGUGCCACAUCAAAAAGUUUGAGAAGCUCUGAUCUAGCUGGACCCUGGACACGGUGACUCUGAUUCAAUUAUGCAGAUGACCACAAGCCUCUGGGGUUGGCAGAGCCACAAGAAAGAAGGUGCCUGGAUGAAGGAGAGCUACCCACUGACCUGGACACCCAAUUAUAGGAUAGACAGUGAAGUGCAACUACAGCCCGCAAAUGAAAAUGAAUAAAAUUAAUCCAGCCCCUCAAGGCAGUCAUCUGUCUUAGAGCUAUUGGAAUCCUGGAUCAUUGUGGGAAAUGAAAAGAACUGGUUUUUAGCAAGGAGACCAAGAAACUCUACUCCCUAGGGGCUAGCAAUGAGAGAAAGGAAGCCUUGAGUCUUUGAGCACAGGGUGACAGUUUGGGUCCUAUGUGAGAUGAUCAAAUCCACAGCAACAGAGGAAAGGACAAAAGGAAAAGGUCUGUAGCAGCACUACAUCAGAAAAAAUGGAUUCCGCAAGGAAGUGGGUGACUCUGAGUAAGCAUCCAUGUCAGGAUGGUUUUGCUACAGCCCCCAACCAAACAUUAAUUAGUUUAAGAAACUCAACUUCGGUUUACAAGUGUUUUGGAAAAGUAACAAAGAACAACCUAAAUAACAAAAUAAUUCCUCAGGUCAUUACAAUGGAUGUUUCCUAUAACUGAAAAAUAUGGUUAAAAAGUACAAACUACAUUUGGUGUGCAAACUGUUUAGUUCUUAAUUCCAAACUAAAUUGUACAUUAUAUAGUAAAAUUUUGACCAGAAAAACUUGGAGAUUUUAGUAAAAAUUUCAUUGACAUAUUUACAGCCCCAGUGUAGUUUGGCCAGUGUGCAAAGCCUGACUAAGGAGGUUAUAGAAAAAAAUAUCAGACUUGAAGCCUAUCAAAUCAUUAAAGAUGCUUUAGCAAGACUUCAAGCUUUACAGACAUACUCCAUGUGACCAGAGAUGUCAUAACCAGUGUUCUUUCUCUUGAAAUGUUAGAAUGCUUUAGUUUUAUUCUAUAAUUUCCGUGUUCCAUGGAACAGCAUUCAUUUCUCCCAGUUUUAGUAACAUAAUGAGAGAUAUAUUGAGUGUAUAGAGCAGGAAAGACAUGAAAACUUAUAUUGCAUAAUAUUAGCAAACAAAAAAGAUAGCAUUAUAAAUUUUUAAAAAUCCAAAAAAUUUCCAGAAACAGAACAGUGAGCAUGUUUAAAAAGUCAAGACUGACCAUUUCUGUGAGCUCUGAGGACUGUAAAUGAGCCUCAAUCCAUAAAGCUGAGAGGUUGUCUUAGCCCACAUAUG